UACUAUACUUCUUCCAAGAAUAUUAUGAUAUACUACACUGUUAUAUAUAUAUAUAUCCGAAGAAUCCCAAAAGGUGCCACACAUACCCCUUUGCUAUACCUGACUUUACCGUUACCGGAUAAUAGAAACACCGGAUUUGUGUGUUAGGCUGUCCCACUGAACUGCUCCAGUAUCUACAAGCGCUGAAUUACUUCUCUUUUUCCAACUUAGAAACCGGCUACUUUACCUUAUUAGCUUAUCUUCCUGAAAGCAGUCACAAGCAGUAGGAGAAUGAUAAUUGGUUUCCUGUAGUUCAGUUCUUCUUUUUAUCUAAACUCACUAUGUAGAUAACCCAUAUAGCAAGUUACACAGUAUUAUUUAAACACAGAACUGUCGG